AAGUCGUAACAAGGUUUCCGUAGGUGAACCUGCGGAAGGAUCAUUCACAAUGGGUGUUUUAUGGCACCCUUAAAAAUCCAUAUCCACCUUGUGUGAAAUGUAAGAGAGGUCGCUUGCGACUUCUUUUCUUAACAACCCUUCAAAUAAACCAAUUGAUUCUGAAAACACUAUUAUGGAUUACUUAAUUCAAAAUACAACUUUCAACAACGGAUCUCUUGGCUCUCACAUC
rnacentral:misc_RNA from 1 species